GAUGAAGAACGUAGCGAAAUGCGAUAAGUAAUGUGAAUUGCAGAAUUCAGUGAAUCAUCGAAUCUUUGAACGCACCUUGCGCCCUUUGGCUAUUCCGAAGGGCAUGCCUGUUUGAGUAUCAUGAACACCUCAACUCUUUAUGGUUUUCCAUGAAGGGCUUGGACUUUGGGGGUCUUGCUGGCCUUAGUCAGCUCCUCUCAAACGAAUCAGCUUUCCAGUGUUUGGCAGCGUCACAGGUGUGAUAACUAUCUACGCUUGUGGUUUUCUGCCAGGUAAUCCUCAGUGAUGGGGAUUCGCUGGGGCUUAUAAAUGUCUCUCCUCAGCGAAGACAGCUUUGUGAACGUUUGAUCUCAAAUCAGGUAGGACUACCCGCUGAACUUAAGCAUAUCAAUAAGCGGAGGA
rnacentral:misc_RNA from 1 species